UGGGGUUUUGGCUCAGUGGUAGAGCGCUUGCUUAGCACAUGCAAGGCCCUGGGUUCAAUCCUCAGCACCACAU
rnacentral:tRNA from 1 species